GACGAACGCUGGCGGCGUGCUUAACACAUGCAAGUCGAACGGAAAGGCCCUGCUUUUGUGGGGUGCUCGAGUGGCGAACGGGUGAGUAACACGUGAGUAACCUGCCCUUGACUUCGGGAUAACUUCAGGAAACUGGGGCUAAUACCGGAUAGGAGCUCCUGCUGCAUGGUGGGGGUUGGAAAGUUUCGGCGGUUGGGGAUGGACUCGCGGCUUAUCAGCUUGUUGGUGGGGUAGUGGCUUACCAAGGCUUUGACGGGUAGCCGGCCUGAGAGGGUGACCGGCCACAUUGGGACUGAGAUACGGCCCAGACUCCUACGGGAGGCAGCAGUGGGGAAUAUUGCACAAUGGGCGGAAGCCUGAUGCAGCAACGCCGCGUGCGGGAUGACGGCCUUCGGGUUGUAAACCGCUUUCGCCUGUGACGAAGCGUGAGUGACGGUAAUGGGUAAAGAAGCACCGGCUAUCUACGUG
rnacentral:rRNA from 1 species